UAGGCCCCAAGAAGAAGAAUAUUUCUGUCUAACAGAUGUAUGUACUCUAAGCAUCUAGAGCUUUGCCUAGGACACAGCAGUGAAGAUUAAAGACACCCAUUGUUCUUGCUGAAUGGUGCCUGCAACUUCUGUGACCAUUUUGCCAUGUUGGGACCAAGUGUGAAUGCAAAGUUUGCACAUAGAGGAGAACUGACCAAUCGGAGAAUGGAAAACUUCUUGAUCAUUGAUGACAGCAGUCAACCAGUGAAGCCAUCAAGCCUGGAGUUUUUCCUACUGCUGGAAUUCUUGUCAUUGCAGAAAAUCAAUGUUGUGUUCUGAUUUGGGGCAUUCUAGCUUGCAAAUAGAGGCAUCUUAGCUGACACCAAAUGCUCCCUAAGGAUAUUCCAAAGAUAAAAUUGAUGUCUUCAUUUUGAA
rnacentral:lncRNA from 1 species